GUGUUUGUCUCAGGUAGUGAGUGGUCCCGGCCUCGGCCGGGGAGGGAGGGGAGGACAGCCGGGGCUCGUUAGCCCCUGGGCAGGACUAGACCUCCCGGGAGGAGCGCUGGUGAGCAGAUCACGCCGCAGGACUCCGUCUCCCCUGGCUGGAAUCGCUGGAACACAUGCUGGCUCCCUGAGAGACCCCGCGCUGCGUUCCUGUCGACCGCCGGCCCGCAGGCCAUCCUUUCGGCUCCUUUGAACUUGGCGGUAUUAUCACUUUCUUAACAGAGAGGUUACCGCGAGGCCAGUGACCUGAGCCAGGUCUCUCAGGUCUCCAGUGCGGUCAGCCUUUGCUUAGCAAGCGCUUCUCUUUGCAGUUUUUUAUUUUCCUGCCUCUUUCCUGACCCCUCGUAGAUUUGGGAGAUUUACUGAACGGAAAUGCUUCUUUAGACUCCUGACCAGAAUGACUUAGGUCCCUUCAGUCGAGUCAGAGAUUUCCAAGCAGCUGCCUUUAAGCUCUUGUAUGCCCCCCCCCCCAAAAAAAAAUCAAAACACAGUUCUUUUGAACAGUUGUUGAUUGAAAAAGAAAAUGUUGUGAGCAGAUAGUACUGACUGCUAGCUUGUGUAUGUAUGGUGAGUUCUGUGUCCCAUAUUAAAUUUAAGAGAGCACAUCCUGAAGGAGAUUCCACUAGGACUGGGUAGGGACGUUCCCGAGUAGAAGAACUUU
rnacentral:lncRNA from 1 species